rnacentral:rRNA from 1 species
AUGCGGCUCUAUGUCAACUCGUUACUCUCAGUCGACUCUACACGCAGCUUCCACGGGUGGUGGGAUUGCUCAUUGUCGACAGGUGUUUCUACCUCGACCUCUUCUGCCAUGUCCCUAUCUGCGCGUGAGAUUGCGCAACUGCAAUGCCUGAUUGCUGCUUGGGAUUCUUCACCGUCUGGUUCUGCGGGUUCUGUGACUGACUCUUCUGGCACUGAGAAACCACCUUCUAAUCAUUCAGGUACAUCCCCAUGGAUUCUUGAUACCGGAGCAUCUUUUCAUAUGACUUAUGAUUCUUCCACUUUAACCUCCGUUCGACCUGUCGAGUCUCAUGUUCGUGUUCUUACAGCUGAUGGCACUCCCCUUGCUGUAGCUAGCCGAGGCACUCUUAGCACUUCUUCAUUUCAUGUUCCCUCUGUCGCUCAUGUUCCUCGACUUACCAUGCAGCUCAUAUCUAGUGGUCAGAUUGUUAACUCUAGUUGUAGGGUCAUUCUCGACUUUGAUUCGUGUUCUGUUCAGGACCGUCAUACUGGUGCUCUGCUUGGUGCUGGCCCACACCGCCCUGAUGGUCUUUGGGAGCUUGACUGGCUUCGUCUUCCCUCCGCUGCCACCACCGCCAGUCUCGCAGCCCCUGUUGCUGCAUCUACCAGCUCUUUUCAGCAGUGGCAUCAUUGUCUUGGCCAUUUAUGUGGUUCUCGUCUCUCAUCUUUGGUUCAUCGUGGUGUUCUGGGGUCUGUCUCCGGUAACGCUUCGUUGGAUUGUCUGGGUUGUAGACUUGGUAAGCAGAUUCAGCUACCCUAUCCUCACAGUGAGUCAGUGUCCGAGCGCCCUUUUGAUCUCGUUCACUCUGAUGUUUGGGGUCCGGCUCCCUUCGCUUCGAAAGGGGGUCAUCGCUACUAUAUUAUCUUUAUAGAUGAUUUUUCUCGGUACACUUGGAUAUAUUUCAUGUCUUCUCGUAGUGAGGUCUUAUCUAUUUACAAAAAAAUUGCUGCCAUGGUUCACACCCAGUUUGCCUCUCAUAUUCGUGUUUUUCACGCAGAUUCAGCUGGUGAGUAUAUCUCCCAGCGUUGCAAGGAUUCCUUGCUGAGCAGGGUACUCUUACUCAGUUCUCUUGCCCUGGUGCUCAUGCUCAGAAUGGUGUGGCUGAGCGCAAGCAUCGUCAUCUUCUUGAGACGGCGCGUGCGAUGA